CUACUAGUUGUCGGGUCUUAAUUGACUUGGUAACGCAGCUAACGCGUGAAGUAGACCGCCUGGGGAGUACGGUCGCAAGAUUAAAACUCAAAGGAAUUGACGGGGACCCGCACAAGCGGUGGAUGAUGUGGAUUAAUUCGAUGCAACGCGAAAAACCUUACCUACCCUUGACAUGUACGGAAGCCACGAGAGAUCGAGGUGUGCUCGAAAGAGAACCGUAACACAGGUGCUGCAUGGCUGUCGUCAGCUCGUGUCGUGAGAUGUUGGGUUAAGUCCCGCAACGAGCGCAACCCUUGUCAUUAGUUGCUACGAAAGAGCACUCUAAUGAGACUGCCGGUGACAAACCGGAGGAAGGUGGGGAUGACGUCAAGUCCUCAUGGCCCUUAUGGGUAGGGCUUCACACGUCAUGCAAUGGUACAUACAGAGGGCCGCCAACCCGCGAGGGGGAGCUAAUCCCAGAAAGUGUAUCGUAGUCCGGAUUGUAGUCUGCAACUCGACUGCAUGAAGUUGGAAUCGCUAGUAAUCGCGGAUCAGCAUGUCGCGGUGAAUACGUUCCCGGGUCUUGUACACACCGCCCGUCACACCAUGGGAGCGGGUUUUACCAGAAGUAGGUAGCUUAACCGUAAGGAGGGCGCUUACCACGGUAGGAUUCGUGACUGGGGUGAAGUCGUAACAAGGUAGCCGUAUCGGAAGGUGC
rnacentral:rRNA from 1 species